ensembl:lncRNA
GGCGGCGGGAGCCCGGCGGGCCGGGCCGGGCUGUAGCAGUCUCGAGUAGCGGUACCUCGCCCCAGGCCGGCCGGUACGGGUGCUACUCCGAGUCGAAUGUGGCUGCAGUGUUAAAGCUGGCUCAACAUCAAGCAAGAAAGAAAAGGCCGGAAGUCCCAGGUCACCUUUUACCCAUAAGAAUAACAGAAGUGGAAGAAAGGUUGAAUGUAGCAGAAAUGACACAAGAAUGGAUUUCAGCAGAGAGCACUGAAGAAGAAUUACCUCUGAACAUAAUAUGCUAGCUAAAAAAAGCACAACUGAUAGCUGCCAAGACCAUUGUGGACCUAAAAUGCUAGCAGUGGUCAAAGCAAAUUAAAAUUUAUUAAGGGACCCUCAUGUAUAAUUUUACCACAGCAGGAUUAUACUACCAGCUCUGCAAAGGGAGAUUUAGUCAAGUAAUUCUCAUUAAGGGGCAAAACCCCUCUGACUUCUGCAGGUACUUUGCCUGAUUAAGCACUGAAGAACAGGCCCUAAGGUUGGCACGGCUGAGCUCUAACCUGUCUGCCUUUAUGCAAGCCACAGCUUCAUAUAUCAGCUCCAGCUCAUGCAGAGGAGUCUUACCAGGCAUUCUAAUCCUAAGGGGAAACAUUUCAUUGCAAUGCACAGUAAUUUGCAUUCUUUCACAAAAUUCUGCUAUUACAUUAUCCAUUUUUCUCUUGAUUAAAAGAGAUCAAGAAGUGCACACUCUCACACUACACAUGCAGGCUUUCCAUACAGGAGGCCUGGAAUCUACAUUCAAAUUCAGACUGGAGGAGAUCUGGCAACUUCUAGCUCUUUAUGGACUUAUGCUGUUCUAAUAACAGUCACAAAUUACUGAUAAUUAUCAAGGAGGGAAGUUACUGUGGUGGGGUUUUGUUGUUGAGUUUCUAAGACAUUCAAGUGUAUCAAGACAUUUCAGAAGUAUCCAGUGCCAAGGAGUUCUUAAGCACCACAAGCCCUGUGAGCUUGUGCAGAUGCUUUUGAUUUUGCUCACUGCAGGUCAACCUAUGGUGUUAGUUACUGUCUGGAGGAGAUGGAACUGAAGCUACAUUGGCACAAGGGAAAUUGCAGAAGGUAGGCACAAAUUUAUCCAAGUGUUUCGAGGUUUAAGUCCUACAAUUAGGGUUUAUGUUAUACAGUCCAUUCGAACACCUUCCUCCUAGGAAUGUGCUUGGGAAAAUAACCAAGAAUGUAAUCAAAAAAGACAUUUAUGAUCCAUGCAACAAUGUGAACUAUUGCAUCCCCUCCACCCGUAAGCACUAAGAAGAUCAGAGCACACUGAACAAGAGUCAAUCCCUGUUCAUCAAUGACCUUUUAGAGGAAUUUGUAUUUGUCUGUACCACAGUGGUCCAUGAAUAAAAUAUGGCAAUUCUUUGCCUAGGAGGAAACAGGGCAACAAGUAGAGGAAAUGGUAGGCAGGUACUGCAUCAAGGGUGCUAUUUAAAGUACCUAGAAAAGUUUGAUUGUGCAGUAUAAAAUUCUCCUGUAUGCAAAAUAAGAUAUUUUCACCUAGGAACAUCUCAACAAAUUUGCAAGGUAAGCAAACCACCUGAUAUUCUCAGAAUUGGCUGUUUUGUAGAUUAAAUGAUUCUAAAGAUUCUUUUUUAUUUUUUUUUUUUUGGCUAAAAGUUAUCUUCUUCCUCAGAGAGAAGUCUGGCUUCCUCUCCAAAUGUUGCCAUAUUAGCUUUGGCCUUGGGGGCUUUGAAUAGAAAUUUUUAUACACGCACACACAAGAAAAAAAGGGGAAUAUCUUAAAUGAAUUUAACAUUUCUUGUCCCCUGCUAUUCAACCAGUCAGAAUUUUGAGGUGCUUACUCAAAUGAGGUACACAAGUUAAUGAUACUCAUCCAGGCAAGGUUUACUAUAUGAAUCUUUCUGAAGACCAAUAGCUUUAACGCAUUCAGAUGGACUAUUAAAUAAUGGGCUUUGUUUUGUUUAUUGGUUCGUAUUUUGUUUUUUGUUUUUGGUUUUGGUUUUUGGUUUUUGGUUUUUUUUAACUGUCAUUUGAGGAGAAACUAACAAGCCUUUUUGAUCCAAAACUAGCUGUGCAGUUUUGCACGGACAUUAGUCAAACAGAGUUAGUAGUUGUAACAGGUAUAUUUUUAAGGACAACAUCCAAGUUGGAUAUCAAAGUAAAUUUCAUUAAGUAGCUAUUCAUUAUGUUAUUGGAGGAAUGAGAAUCCAUCCCUUCCUGUUCUAGUACUUCAGUUAAAGGUUUCUAAAGUCAAUCCUUUAAUUUAUGAAUAGAAGUUACAUAACAGUAUAUGUGUAUAGCAGAACUAGAAGAAAGUGAAAUGUUUAGGAUAGCGCAGGAACCUGAUUUUUCAAGAACCCAGAGACAUCAAAGGAAGUUUCAGGCAUACCAGCUCUGUAGUUCAGGAGAAGCUGCUGUGUCUUGAACCUCACUUACCUUGUAUCUGUUUAAAGAACAGUGUGCUGCUACAGAGGCCACAGAAUGGUAUUAUCAGUGGACUUACUGCUAUCAGUUGUAGUGUCCUCACUUCUCUCCCUCUUGAGAUAGAUAGAAUUUUCCCUCAACUGUAAUGCUUUCUAAAAUUGCAGGAGUCAAAGACUUACAAUUAUAAAACUCAGGCAAGAGAUUCCCAACCCCACAAUGCUAUAUUGCAUUAUACACUGUAUGACUGUCACUCAAAACAGAAACAAUUACCUCAGCUGCACCUUGUAUUUUAGUUGCAGGUCAGCAGGCUUGAAUUGUGGUAAACUUGCCACCUUAAAAUCAUUUGCAAAAUUUAAUAUAAACUACAUACACCCAUAGUUUAAACAAGCUGAAAAUGAUAAGCAGUUUGUAGUAUUUCACUGAACAACAAAUAUUAAGAAAUAAAUAUUUUCUUGGAAUGUUAGGAGAAUACACGAUCUAUGUUUUCAAUCUUAAUUUCAGCUUCUGAUGAGAUGAAUCAAACAUUCACAUCCCAGCUGCUUCUGAAUGUUCUAAGUGGAAUUUCUUGGAGCAGCAUGAGCAGGUGGUGUUCCUACACAGCUCCAAAUAAAGUUUAUACGUGCUGGGGAUGCUGGCUGCCUUACAUACAAACAUGGAUUCAGAUGACUGUAUUUCUCUUAAUGCACAUAUUUGUUCAUCUGAGCAUGAGGCUGAGUGGUCUUCCCAGGGACAAAGCAACAGGUAUAGAGAUGUUGCCUGGAGCCCUUCUUUUUCCUAAGCUGAAGGCCACAGUUUUCUGUGUCUGAACCAUAGCUGUAUGCCUGCUAAGGAGUGGACUGUUUUAUGCAUUCUGCAUGCUUUUUGCACUGUGGUGCCAAGAGUGGGGUAUACAAUGCAGGCCAGAAAUUUAUGGAAGCUGUCUGUGGCUACGAGGCCUGUUGGGGUACAUCAGAAAAGCAUGCCAUGUAGGGCUGCGGAGGAGUAAACUAGGUUAGACACAGCUCAAACCUGGCUUCUGUGUAGAGACAAAAUGCUAAUUUGCCCUAGCUGGUAGACCAGUCCUAUGUAUCCCUAGCUGGAAAUUGCUCUGUGUGCUUUUUAUUGGAGCCCAAGUUAAAAUUGACUGGCAUGAAGUGCAGAGAAUAGGGAUUCCACAUCGAAGAGACACAUCCAAUAAAAGUGCUCAGAAAGACUUCACCUUUAGCAAGAUAACCUAUUCUUUGCCCUUCCUAAGCUCCUCUUUGAGAACCCAAUCUCCUGUAAGUACACAUACACAGCUACUUAAAUACCUGCUCUGAACUGCACCUUAGAGGAUGCUGUCAGUUCUGGCUGUAGGGGGAAUUUAUACAGCUCAGUUUCACAAGGUUCGAGUCAGCUUUUGUGACUAUCCAUCCUGUGUGUUCCAUAUUGACUUGGAUUUUCAUCUUAUUUUAACCAACUCAACAGCAGAGCACAGAUUUGUCAUGCUGUUGUAGGCAAUUUUGGUUCUCUCAAGUCUGUUAUUUCAAGACUGUUUAAGACUCCACCAGAUGGCUACCAUCCAUGCCAACACUCAAGGGAGCACAAAAGGACAUAAGAAAGCUAACUGUUGCCCCUUAUAUCUCACCAAAAGCACAGCAUUCUUCUGUGCUGAGGACCCAGAUUGAAUCAACAGGAAAAAAUUCACUUUGAGCUGGAAGUCUCAGACUGGAGAAAUUUUGUUCUGGCUAGCUGUGUCACUGUCCAUUCCCUCUGCUUUAUAAAAGUGAUGUAAAAAAAAGUUUAAUUCAGUAGAAUACAUGGCUUCUAAUCCACAGUGUGAAAUAUCUAUCUGAAGUAAUGUAUCUUUUAACAUGGCAAGUUGCUUCAUGGUCCAUGUAGAUAAAGUGUGAACACUCCAUUCCUGACUUAACAUUAUUGGACUGCCAGAACCCAAAGCAGGAGUUUCUUCUCCAGCUGUCUCUUGUUCCGCCUUUUAGUGUGUUUUUCAAUGCUACUAUUCGACAGUGGGGCUAGAAGAUUCAUAACCUAAAGAAACAGAACCAAAUAGUUGCUUUGAAUGGUUACAGCUAAGAUGUCCCAUCACUGUUAGACUGCCCAGAUUAAUGUGCAUUUGUUGCUCAUCAAUGCUGAAUAUGUUCAUGAAAUGCAAAAUAGUUCUAAUAACAGUGAACCUUAAAAAAGUUCAUAUGCACAAAUUACCUUGUACUUUGCAUUAGUAAGACAUUGUUUUUCACAUUUUGUUUUAAUGCCAUAGCCCCUUGUAGCCUUUGAGUUAGCUCUUGUGCUAAACUUUCUUAGAUGGCAUCUGCUGAAAGAUCUCUAACACUGUUACAAGACAAAUUAUGACUAUGUUUCUUACCUCAGUAGAUUUGAGCCAGUUUAGGAUGUUUGAAAAUAUGAGCAAUGUGAGUAUCCUUAGAGUAAGAAAUGAUUAAUAAUAAAUUUAGGAAUGUUUGAAAAGAACCUCUGAGAAAGAAGAACUAUAGGUAAAGACUAAAAUAAAAUGGGGGAACUGUAUAUUCUGGAGAUAUGUAAUUAGAAUGAGUGUAUGAGAGCUUUAAUAUUAAAAACCCAAAAUAUAGACUCAAGUCCUCAGUGGAGGCAUCUGGACAACUGAAGAGAAACACAAGAGACCUUUCUACUCUUUUGCUCCUAGGCUAUGCUGUAGAUUUCUUAAAGUUUUCCUAAUUCUCAUAGAAGGACACUGGAAAAAAAAUAUUCUAGCUUGUUUACAAAAACAAGGUAAUUAGAUAAAAGAGUGUAUUUGCUCUCUACAGCUACCUAAAAGAAGAUUGUGGGGAGCUGGGAGACAGCCUCCUCUCCCACAUAACUGGUGAUAGGAUAAAAGGGAAUGGCCUCAAGUUGUGCCAGGGGAGAUUCAGGUUGGACAUAAGAAAAAAUUUCUUCUCCAAAUGAGUGAUUAGCUAGCAGAAUGGGCUGCCCAGGGAAGUGAUUGAGUAACCAUCUCUGCUCUGGUGUUCAAGAAACGUGUUAAUGAUGUACUAAGGGACAUGGUAUAGUGGGGAAAUAUUGGUGGUAGGUGGUCAGUUGGACUGCAUGAUCUUGAAGGUCUUUUCCAACCUUGGUGAUUCUCUGAUUCUGUGAUUCUAUGAUUCUACAUAAGACACUAUAUUUUAUACAUAAUUCAUCAAGUGUGUAUAUGUGUCCAUCUAUUCGCACAUCUCUCCAUUAUUCCCUUCAAAGCAAUGUGAUUGUUUUCUUAAAAGUGAAAGUUAAUGGGACCUGAUCGUAAAACAGUUAUUUUUCUUUAGUGAGAGGUAACAGCUUUCAGGAGUGGAUAUCUGUAGAUGCUAGCUUGUCCUGCUUUUUAUCAGAAGGUUUUGAACCAUUUGAGGUUAGUCUUCUAUCUCCUGAUCUACAGUCUUCAGCCAAGGUUUUAGCUAUGUCAAAUCACUUGAUUUCUGCCAUUUGAGGAUACAACCAAUCUGACUAAAUGAGCUUUAUACACAGAGAAACCUAACCCCUACGUUUUCAUAGGAGAUUUGUUCUGAGACCUAAUCAAAUUCUAUCAGACUAGCUCCUCAGGAGUCGACAAUUGCAAUAAGAAAGAGUAUCUGUUGCAACCUUUUAGUCCUUUUUUUUAUUUCCCAGGAUAGGAAGGGACUUGAACUUUUAAGUUUGUUCUGUGUAAAACAAUAAAAUGUGAUGUUAAAAUAUGUUUGCAACCUCUCUGACCAGAGGAAUUGAAAAAACUGUUGGGAUUGUCUUUACUGACCAUGCACUGAAUGUCAACACCAACUGGAGCAGAUACCUUAAGGCAAUUACACCAGCUCAUAUCAAAAACAUAUAAAUAACUUGUGAUAUAGGAUAAAAAAAAAAAGCUAUUCAAGGUAUUCAAGAUAAACAGAUGUGUCACAGAAAUAAUCAAAUUCUUAUCUAUGAUUCUACAUUGAUAAUGAAAAAGAUUAUUUUUUUACCAUGAACAUUCAUCCUCCACUGUGUUUUGCUGGUAACAGGCAAAUUAAACAUGACUAUAAAGGUCUACUCUAUUUUCUUUUUUCAUCAGAAACUAGAAAUAUUUUUUUUCACUAGUGUCUAGAAGAUCCAAAACACCUCUCUGCAGUCAGCAUUCAGGAGACACACAACAUAUGGUUGCAGAAAACUGGCAACUGAACAGUUUCACAUUCUCCAAGUAGGCACUUAUUGAACAUGCUCAGAGGACUAUCAACACAGCAAAUACUCCUUUCUGUUGAUGUACUUUUUUACUGUAGUGACCUAAAUAAUGAAGGCCUAUAGUCACAUACCUUACUUAUUCAAAAUCAAGUAUUCAGUAAGCUUUGUUUAAAUUACUGCAUAUGAUAGGAAAAUUGAAGAAGAUACAUGUAUCAGUAAGGAUGAAUGCUGACUUUUUAUUUUUCUAAUCAUUUCUGUAUUUCCAUUCCUAAGACACAGUGCAUUUUUGCCUUCACUUCAAUCUAGUAGUUGAGGUCAUUCUAAGUGUCCAUUUGACACUACAACAUUCAGAGAAAAAAAGAAAAAAAAAAAUUAUUGCUAGCUUCAUGAAUAGACUUUUUACUUCUGUAAGUUUGCAGCAAAAUAUUUUUAGGGAAAAAAAUGCAAACCAAAAAUUGAACAGAGCAUUAGCCACAUCUGUUACUGUCUGAAUUUACCAGUUUCUGUCUGCCUCUUCCCCAGCAAACAAAACAAAGUAGAAGAUAUUAUGUUUUUUACACCUUCCCACUAAAUUCUUCUGAGUUUGGAACUUAGUUUUGUGACUGAGUUCCAAUAAAAUAGCAUGGCAUACCCUAUAACAAGGUGGGAAUAUGAGAAGUGCCUGUAUGGACUUUUUACACCUGUCCUAGCUUAGGAUAAGUAGUCAUUCAGACAAAAAUAUGACCAGGUGAAAAUCAGACUACCAUUUCACUGAAGUAAAGAGAUUCUAACAUCUACAAUCCUGGAAGUAUCUAUCACAUUUUAGGAAAUGGCUUGUAUGGGAGCUCUAAUGGAAUGAGAUCGAGAGAAAAAUAGAGAAGAAAAAUACUCUGUUUCUGUAGACUCAAAAUCUUGAAAAAGGGGCUGUCUUCAGCCCUCCAGCAGAGACACUGAGAAGUGAGCCUAGAGAUGACCAAAUGGCGCAAAAAUACCAUGUUGCAUUGUAAGUGCAUGAUAAUACAAGUAGUCACUUAACAUAACAUGCUGCACAGAAGAUCAAAUUGAAUGACCUAGUAUUGUAAUUUAAAAUGGCCUGAUGCAAGCCCAGACUUCCAGAAACAAGGUUCCUGCUCUACGCUGUGAGUCAGGACUUCCAGACUGAUCCUCUAAUGCAAAUGGAGAUUCUGAGAAACAUUUGGGCCCAGUUCUUUCACUUCCAUUUCAAAAAACAGUGUUGUCAAACUGACAAGGAUUCCAAAUGAAAUGGCCCAAGACCUGGAAAACCUACCUUAAUGGCAAAAAGAGGGAAAUCUGUGCUAUUGUUUUUGUUUUUGUUUUUUAACAUUAAAAGGUAAAGAAAUGAGAUGAAAACAGUUUGAAAGUACCUGCAUUAUUUCUUGUAAUGGUAUGCUUAAUCUGGUGGAUAAAAGUAUAGUAUAUAAGAUCUGAAGCUAUACAUAUUGGAACUGGAAAUGAUUGUGAUUUUUAAGAGCAAAUGAAAUUAACCUUUGGAAUGGAUGUGGUGGUUUCUCUGUGAACUUCUAGAGUGAAAGUACAUACUGUAAUUUGUGUUUUAAAAUAAAGCAUAUCCUGUUUCAUGAUGUAAA